UGGAUGAAAAGCCAGCCAGCACGCCCUGGGGCAGCAAGAUGCCUUUUGGGCAGCUGAUGUCAGAGUUUGGUGGCAGUGGCACUGGUGGCUGGGUCCACGGGGUGAGCUUCUCUGCCAGUGGGAGCCGCCUGGCCUGGGUCAGCCACGACAGCACCGUGUCUGUUGCUGAUGCCUCAAAAAGUGUGCAGGUCUCGACUCUGAAGACAGAGUUCCUGCCGCUCCUGAGUGUGUCAUUUGUCUCAGAGAACAGCGUCGUGGCUGCUGGCCAUGACUGCUGCCCAAUGCUCUUUAACUACGAUGACCGCGGCUGCCUGACCUUCGUCUCCAAGUUAGACAUUCCAAAACAGAGCAUCCAACGCAACAUGUCUGCCAUGGAACGCUUCCGCAACAUGGACAAGAGAGCCACAACUGAGGACCGCAACACGGCCUUGGAGACGCUGCACCAGAAUAGCAUCACGUGCAGAUUACAAGGCAGCAGCCAGCAGGAGCAGUGCAGACCUUGUUGCAAUCUGAGGUGGUGGGGCCUCAGGGCAGCUGCUUCCUAGGGUACCCUUUCUCAGCUACUCGAGAACAAAAGGAGACAUUCCUGAAUGCUGCGUUCCCACAGUAGUGCACACAUAACAGAAAGCGAAGUUACAGCCUGUUGGAAAAGGUAACUGUAGCUGUCAUUUCAAGUAAUGGAUACAAAUAAGAAGAUUAUUUAAUUAAAGGAACAGAAUUUCUUAUCAUCAUGAUGACAAA
rnacentral:sRNA from 1 species